GAAAGAUUUAUCGGUGAAGGAUUAGCCCGCGUUGGAUUAGGUAGUUGGUGGGGUAAAAGCCUACCAAGCCGACGAUCCAUAGCUGGUUUGAGAGGAUGAUCAGCAACACUGGGACUGAGACACGGCCCAGACUCCUACGGGAGGCAGCAGUGGGGAAUCUUACACAAUGGGGGAAACCCUGAUCUAGCCAUGCCGCGUGAGUGACGAAGGCCCUAGGGUCGUAAAGCUCUUUCGCCAGGGAAGAUAANGACUGUACCUGGUAAAGAAACCCCGGCUAACUCCGUGCCAGCAGCCGCGGUAAUACGGAGGGGGUUAGCGUUGUUCGGAAUUACUGGGCGUAAAGCGCACGUAGGCGGACUAUUAAGUUAGGGGUGAAAUCCCAGGGCUCAACCCUGGAACUGCCUCUAAUACUGGUAGUCUUGAGUUCGAGAGAGGUGAGUGGNAUUCCGAGUGUAACAGGUGAAAUUC
rnacentral:rRNA from 1 species